rnacentral:rRNA from 1 species
AUUGAACGCUGGCGGCAGGCCUAACACAUGCAAGUCGAGCGGAUGAAGGGAGCUUGCUCCUGGAUUCAGCGGCGGACGGGUGAGUAAUGCCUAGGAAUCUGCCUGGUAGUGGGGGAUAACGUCCGGAAACGGGCGCUAAUACCGCAUACGUCCUGAGGGAGAAAGUGGGGGAUCUUCGGACCUCACGCUAUCAGAUGAGCCUAGGUCGGAUUAGCUAGUUGGUGGGGUAAAGGCCUACCAAGGCGACGAUCCGUAACUGGUCUGAGAGGAUGAUCAGUCACACUGGAACUGGGACACGGUCCAGACUCCUGCGGGAGGCAGCAGUGGGGAAUAUUGGACGAUGGGCGAAAGCCUGAUCCAGCCAUGCCGCGUGUGUGAAGAAGGUCUUCGGAUUGUAAAACACUUUAAGUUGGGAGGAAGGGCAGUAAGUUAAUACCUUGCUGUUUUGACGUUACCAACAGAAUAAGCACCGGCUAACUUCGUG